rnacentral:tRNA from 1 species
AACAAUAUAGUUUAUGAAAAAUGUUGGGUUUGCGUCUCAAGGAUGAAGUGUUUUUCUGUUGUUA